UAAGUCUAAUUAAAUGAAAUAAAACAAAUAUAAUAAAAGGAAGAUGAUUUCAAUCAAAUCUUCUUUCUUAUUCUCCAAAAGUCAAGAGAUUUUACCGCCUUUCUUUUCUUCUUCUUCUCCACCUCACCUUUUUCUUUCUUUCUCUAAAUCAAAGCUCAUAAAAAUGUCUUCCAUAUCUAUAAGUGAUGUCUCCCUUGCCUGAAGCCAAUAAGUAACCGCUGAAUCAGUGGUUCUUUGACGACAUUGAGUGAGAGCUGUACUUUAUAUGCUGUGGAGGGAAUCUAGAAUGUAGAUUUUCAGAUGUUAAGGUUGGUAGGUAAAUGUAAUAUUUAUCAUUUAUGAUUCUUUUGAUGGGUUUCUUUUUGUUUUAUUUCUUUUAUUUCAUUUAAUUUUUUAGACUUAAUUAGAGCUUAAAAUUGGGUUUGACGGAGCGUUUUCAUUAGCUCAUUAAAGAACUAGUUGACAGUAAGGUGUAGUUAGACAAACAUAAAAAGUAUAUAGUUUAAUUGGUAGUUUUUUUAGUUUAGG
rnacentral:misc_RNA from 1 species